GUGCCAGCAGCCGCGGUAAGACAGAGGGUGCAAACGUUGUUCGGAAUUACUGGGCGUAAAGCGUGUGUAGGCUGCCAUGCAGGUCGGAUGUGAAAGCCCCGGGCUCAACUCGGGAAGUGCACCCGAAACCGCAUGGCUAGAGUCUCGGAGAGGUUGGUGGAAUUCUCGGUGUAGAGGUGAAAUUCGUAGAUAUCGAGAGGAACACCGGUGGCGAAGGCGGCCAACUGGACGAAGACUGACGCUGAGACACGAAAGCGUGGGGAGCAAACAGGAUUAGAUACCCUCGUAGUCC
rnacentral:rRNA from 1 species